rnacentral:rRNA from 1 species
UACGUAGGUGGCAAGCGUUAUCCGGAGUUAUUGGGCGUAAAGAGCGCGCAGGUGGUUAAUUAAGUCUGAUGUGAAAGCCCACGGCUUAACCGUGGAGGGUCAUUGGAAACUGGUUGACUUGAGUGCAGAAGAGGGAAGUGGAAUUCCAUGUGUAGCGGUGAAAUGCGUAGAGAUAUGGAGGAACACCAGUGGCGAAGGCGGCUUCCUGGUCUGCAACUGACACUGAGGCGCGAAAGCGUGGGGAGCAAACAGG